rnacentral:rRNA from 1 species
GACGAACGCUGGCGGCGUGCUUAACACAUGCAAGUCGAACGGAAAGGCCCUUCGGGGUACUCGAGUGGCGAACGGGUGAGUAACACGUGGGUGAUCUGCCCUGCACUUUGGGAUAAGCCUGGGAAACUGGGUCUAAUACCGAAUAGGACCACGCGCUUCAUGGUGUGUGGUGGAAAGCUUUUGCGGUGUGGGAUGGGCCCGCGGCCUAUCAGCUUGGUGGUGGGGUAAUGGCCUACCAAGGCGACGACGGGUAGCCGGCCUGAGAGGGUGACCGGCCAAACUGGGACUGAGAUACGGCCCAGACUCCUCCGGGAGGCAGCAGUGGGGAAUAGUGCACAAUGGGCGGAAGCCUGAUGCAGCGAAGCCGCGUGGGGGAUGACGGCCUUCGGGUUGGAAACCUCUUUUCAUAGGGACGAAGCGCAAGUGACGGUACCUAUAGAAGAAGCACCGGCCAACUACGUG